rnacentral:rRNA from 1 species
CAGUCGCCACGGUAAUGCAGAGGGUGCAAGCGUUAAUCGGAUUUACUGGGCGUAAAGGGCGCGUAGGUGGUUAUGUAAGUGAGAUGUGAAAUCCCCGGGCUCAACCUGGGAACUGCAUCUUAUACUGCGUAGCUGGAGUGCAGUAGAGGGUAGUGGAAUUUCCGGUGUAGCGGUGAAAUGCGUAGAUAUCGGAAGGAACACCAGUGGCGAAGGCGGCUACCUGGACUGACACUGACACUGAGGCGCGAAAGCGUGGGGAGCAAACAGGAUUAGAUACCCCAGUAGUCCCUGUCUCUUAUAU